rnacentral:rRNA from 1 species
UGGCUCAGGAUGAACGCUGGCGGCGUGCCUAAUACAUGCAAGUCGAACGGGAGCCCCGAUUUACGGAUUGGGGUGAGAGUGGCGCACGGGUGAGUAACACGUAGCUGACCUACCCUUCGCAGGGGGAUAACUGGCCGAAAGGCGAGCUAAUACCGCGUAUACUGGAUGGGGUUAGAGGCCCAUUGAGGAAAGCGUUGGAAGCGGCGAAGGCAGGGGCUGCGGCCCAUCAGCUAGUUGGUGUGGUAAGAGCGCACCAAGGCGAGGACGGGUAGGGGGCCUGAGAGGGUGACCCCCCACACUGGGACUGAGACACGGCCCAGACUCCUACGGGAGGCAGCAGUAAGGGAUAUUGCCCAAUGGGCGCCGGCCUGAGGCAGCAACGCCGCGUGGAGGAGGACGGUUUUCGGAUUGUAAACUCCUUUUCUGGGGGAAGAGGCAGGACGGUACCCCAGGAAUAAGUCUCGGCUAACUACGUGCCAGCAGCCGCGGUAAAACGUAGGAGGCGAGCGUUAUCCGGAUUUACUGGGCGUAAAGCGCGUGCAGGCGGUGGCUUAAGUCAUGCGUGAAAGCUCCCGGCUCAACUGGGAGAGGACGUAUGAGACUGGGUCACUGGAGACAGGUAGAGGCCUACGGAAUUCCGGGUGGAGUGGUGAAAUGCGUAGAGAUCCGGAGGAACAUCAGUGGCGAAGGCGGUAGGCUGGGCCUGAUCUGACGCUCAGACGCGAAAGCAUGGGGAGCGAACGGGAUUAGAAACCCCGGUAGUCCAUG